GGGGAGAUGCCGGAGUGGUCGAACGGGACGGAUUCGAAAUCCGUUGUAUUCGCAAGAGUACCUAGGGUUCGAAUCCCUAUCUCCCCGCCA
rnacentral:tRNA from 1 species